UAGGGAAUCUUCCACAAUGGACGAAAGUCUGAUGGAGCAACGCCGCGUGAGUGAAGAAGGGUUUCGGCUCGUAAAGCUCUGUUGGUAGUGAAGAAAGAUAGAGGUAGUAACUGGCCUUUAUUUGACGGUAAUUACUUAGAAAGUACACGGCUAACUACGUGCC
rnacentral:rRNA from 1 species